GAUGAACGCUCGCUACAGGCUUAACACAUGCAAGUCGAGGGGAAACGCCAUCGAAAGCUUGCUUUUGAUGGGCGUCGACCGGCGCACGGGUGAGUAACGCGUAUCCAACCUGCCCAUCACUUGGGAAUAACCUUGCGAAAGUAAGACUAAUACCCAAUGAUAUCCCACGAAGGCAUCGGAAUGGGAUUAAAGAUUUAUCGGUGAUGGAUGGGGAUGCGUCUGAUUAGCUUGUUGGCGGGGUAACGGCCCACCAAGGCAACGAUCAGUAGGGGUUCUGAGAGGAAGGUCCCCCACAUUGGAACUGAGACACGGUCCAAACUCCUACGGGAGGCAGCAGUGAGGAAUAUUGGUCAAUGGGCGAGAGCCUGGACCAGCCAAGUAGCGUGCAGGAAGACGGCCCUAUGGGUUGUAAACUGCUUUUAUAAGGGAAUAAAGUGGGUCACGUGUGACUUUUUGCAUGUACCUUAUGAAUAAGGACCGGCUAAUUCCGUG
rnacentral:rRNA from 1 species